ACUUAGCGGCGGACGGGUGAGUAACGCGUGGGCAACCUGCCUUACACAGGGGGAUAACAAUUAGAAAUGAUUGCUAAUACCGCAUAAGACUCCAGUACCGCAUGGUACAGGGGUAAAAACUGAGGUGGUGUAAGAUGGGCCCGCGUCUGAUUAGGUAGUUGGUGGGGUAGAAGCCUACCAAGCCGACGAUCAGUAGCCGACCUGAGAGGGCGACCGGCCACAUUGGGACUGAGACACGGCCCAAACUCCUACGGAAGGCAGCAG
rnacentral:rRNA from 1 species